UACGUAGGAGGCAAGCGUUGUCCGGAGUUACUGGGCGUAAAGCGCGCGCAGGCGGUCACGUGCAUCUGGCGGGACAGGGCCCGGCUUAACCGGGUCAGGCCGACAGAGAUGGCGUGACUUGAGGGCUUCAGAGGGAUGGGGAAUUCCGGGUGGAGUGGUGAAAUGCGUAGAGAUCCGGAAGAACACCAAAGGCGAAGGCACCAUCCUGGGAAGUCACUGACGCUCAGGUGCGAAAGCCAGGGGAGCGAAC
rnacentral:rRNA from 1 species